AUACGGAGGGUGCAAGCGUUACUCGGAAUCACUGGGCGUAAAGCGCGCGCAGGCGGUCUUUUAAGUUGGAUGUGAAAGCCUACGGCUCAACCGUAGAACUGCAUCCAAAACUGUCAGGCUAGAGUGUGGGAGAGGAAGAUGGAAUUAGUUGUGUAGGGGUAAAAUCCGUAGAGAUAACUAGGAAUACCAAAAGCGAAGGCAAUCUUCUGGAACACUACUGACGCUGAGGCGCGAAGGCGUGGGGAGCAAACAGGAUUAGAAACCCCAGUAGUCC
rnacentral:rRNA from 1 species